rnacentral:rRNA from 1 species
GUGGGGAAUAUUGGGCAAUGGGGGAAACCCUGACCCAGCAACGCCGCGUGAGGGAAGAAGGUUUUCGGAUUGUAAACCUCUGUCCUUGGUGACGAAGGAAGUGACGGUAACCAAGGAGGAAGCCCCGGCUAACUACGUGCCAGCAGCCGCGGUAAUACGUAGGGGGCAAGCGUUGUCCGGAAUGACUGGGCGUAAAGGGCGUGUAGGCGGCCGGUUAAGUCUGGAGUGAAAGUCCUGCUUUCAAGGUGGGAAUUGCUUUGGAGACUGGUUGGCUUGAGUGCGGAAGAGGUAAGUGGAAUUCCCAGUGUAGCGGUGAAAUGCGUAGAGAUUGGGAGGAACACCAGUGGCGAAGGCGACUUACUGGGCCGUAACUGACGCUGAGGCGCGAAAGCGUGGGGAGCGAACAGGAUUAGAUACCCGUGUAGUCC